rnacentral:lncRNA from 1 species
CUUUCGAACAAAUAGUCGUAAAUAUGAGUUUUAUUUUUUUGCUGACGUACUAUGAGGCAAAACAAAAUUGACACCAUACAAAAUAACUUUAUAAAAUAUCAUUCACAUCAUAUUUUUAUCAGAUUUACAGCAUUCUGCGCAUAUUAAGAAUUAUGUACGGAGGUGGAAAAAAAACACUAUGCUAACUUUUUAGGAUUAGUUUAUAUAUACACACACACAGUAAGAAACAAAACAAAAUGUUAGUUUUUCCAAGAAUUUAUUGCAAAAGUAGUGCAAACUAUUUAACCUAGGAAGCAAAAAACAAGCUUGAAAGGACCCAUCAAAGCUUAAACAUGACAAUAGAUGCUCAAUUUCACAGCCUAAGAGCUUUCUUCACCAGUUUCUCUUUUCUCAAACCAGACAAUUCCCCAUCUCUACUUAUUUUGGAUUCACUUUUUCUUGGGGUGAGUUUGGAGGCAAGGGAGUAAGAAAUGCAGGGGAAGUAAAGUGUAAGCUCCUUCAGGGCAGGAACUGGGGGUUUGGUUUUGUUUUUAUAUCCCCAGCGUCUAACACAAUGCUUUGCACAUGAUAGACACUUAAAACAUUGGUUGAAUUCAAUGGAACACAGUUGAAGGAGGACUACAUAGGAAACUAGGUCUUUAGAUUAACUAGGCUGAUGAGGCAAUCUAAUGGCAGCAUUGACCUUUGGGGCUACUUGCUCAGAUUGGAGUUUUGCAAAGGCUCUUUUCAAACUUUGAACUACGAUUCAUGUGUGCAUUAAGAGUGUAUAUGUAUCAAAAUAGUUAUGAUUUUUAAUUUUUGAAUUUAGAAACCAGCUACCAACCUCUUGAUGAUAUUGAGAAAAGAAUCAAGAAAGCAGCAUGAGCAGAAGGGAUUAGGAACAUUAUUGUCUGUUUAUAAAUGUAGUAUCCUUUUGCUCAAGUCCUUUUGUGUGAAACAUCUUUUUUCUACACUAUACAAUGCAGGGUGACAUCUUUGAACCAGCAACUGCAUUUGAAUAAAUUUAAAAGGAUACUACAAUCUGCAAGAUGAACUUUUAAAAAGCCUUGCAACAUCCUCUGGGGAUCCUAGAAGCAACAGUUAGCAAUUCAUAGACUAAACAAGGUAAUGAAAGAGAACACAUUGCUACAUGUAAAAGUGAAAGAAACAAAAUGCAGCAUAUUCAGGCUCUUAAUUUCUUGAGGUACCUAUAAAUUUUAUCAUCUGCCCCAAAGUACUACUGUUAUGUUAAAAAACACACAUACACACAGGCACACAACACACACACACAAACACACAAAACAAGUUAAUUUUAAAGUCCUUGUCUAGGAGCCAAUUGUAGGGCAUACAUUAUUACUGAGAAAGUGCAACAAUGCUGAUCAUUUACACGCAGCAUAUUAAAGGAUGAUUUACUCUUUAUAAAAUAUAGCUUAAGUAUAGACCUGAUGGAGUUUUUUUUUUUUUCUUUAUAAAAACACUAACAGAGGAACUGACCCACUGAGUCUCUGCAGCAAAAAGCCUUAUAGAACCUUGUAAAGUUCUGCCACUAAGGAAUGUCGGUUCUCUUACAACUCUGAUGUAGACCUUUUAAAAAUUGUAAAACUAACUGCUACAGGAAAGUUUCCUACUCUGGAUUUGUUACUGGUAUAAAGUCAAAUUAGUAAAAGGCUUCAAGAUAGAUUGUAUAGUACAACUUAAAAGUUUUUCCCCAAAAGAAUUAAGUAAAAAAGAUAUAGCUUAUAGAAAAAAAGUAGAGUUGUAGAUUGCUGAAUAUAAAAACGUGGAAAAUUAUUCUCCCUUACAUUUUAUUCUCACCUUUCCUUACAUAUGUACAUAUACACACGUGCCAACUCUUAGAUGUCGCUAGUUACCUAGAGCCAGUAUACCCCAUUUUUAAUUAGGCCCCCUGCCUCUUGAGACAAAAAGCACUGGAUUAAGAAUUAGGAAACUGGAUUCAAAUUUCAGAUUCAUUCAGAUUUCAUCUGUGUAAUCUUGAUCAAGUGACUUGAACUUCCCUGGGCCUCACUAUUUAUUAAAGCUUCCAGAGGGUAAGAAUGGGAGAGGAGAAAAAACUUCAUCAGGCCAUAUAUUACAUCUUUAGAUAAGGGCUCUUGUAAGGUCUACCAGAGAAAGAGGUUGACAUUUGUAUCUGGUCAGAUGAUCUGAUUUUUUUUUAAACCUACAUUAAUCAAAACCAAAAGUUUGCUUACACAUAUGCAUAGAAGAGUUGGGGAUUUUAUUGUUUGAGAAAUGCAAAUUUUGCUUCUUGACUUUUUUUUCUUUGUAUAAAAGAUCUACUAUGUUUGGAUAGGGAAAAAAUAGCUAAAUGUUGUAGCCAGUUUGGCUUGUUUUCCCUCACUGGCAAUAAGUUUGUUUUUUAUGUUGAUUUUGAAAAAAGCAUUGGGACUCAAACCAAAAGGCACAAAGAACAGAGAACUCAAACAUGAGAUAGUUAUUAAACAGAAAGUCUGGCUUCCAGGGAACUGUCAAGAUGUAUAUGCACAGUCAUACCUUACUGUUUGGUCACUUUUUCCAAUCUCAUUGCCACACUUCUUAAAUAGCACCCAACUGUUUAACUGAGGUAGAUCCACAUUAGAAAGAAAGCUGGGUCCCCUCCACUUUGUUUACCUCAAGUUGAAAAUGUUUUAUUAAAAAAAAAAAAUUCAGUGUAAAAUUGUACGUAGAAGUGAUGACAGAUGGCACUACAUGAAGAAAGCUUAGAACUUGAGCAGGUUAUCAGAAAGGGUUUAUACAUCAGAACUUUAGGCAUAAAUAAAUCUCUGAAUGGAAAAAUUAAAGACUAAAGCAAAAUGAGACCAAAAGGAAGAAAAGAAAAACCCUGAAAAAAUUCCAAGAAUUUUCAGAACAUGACAUUCUAUUUGACUGCCAUAGAAAUGCACAAUGGCCCAUUUUACACAGAUCUAAGGACAACAAUAGCUAGUAGCUAGCUAGGUCAGUCACAGUGUAGAUAGAAAGUUCUAGGCCUACACAUUUCCCUUUACAUCUCAGGUGAGAAGCCUCUCUGAAUUACUGUGUAUCUUCUUGGUUUGAACAGGCUAAUUCCCUCAUUGUAGUAUUUUUGCAUACUCUGAAGCUUACAAACUUAACAUCAUAUUAAGGCUUAAUUUAAAGUGGGGUCACCACAUAAGCAUCAUGCAAGCAUUUAACAUGUUUAGGAUACAUACAAUGUAUUCAACUACAUGAAGUCUUAAUUCUAUUUAACAUGUACUGUAAUAUGCUACACUUAACUUUUACAAUCCAUGUAGUAAAUGAAAAUUAUACAUGAAAGCAAAUGCAUAUAAAUAAAGCAAUUUAUAUAAGAACUGUCAGUUUUACAAAACAGCACUGUAUGGUCUCUAUUGCAAGCACAAAACAUCUUCAUAUAGAUCCAUGGAACAGGUAGAAACUAAUCCAUAUAUAUUUAGUACCACUUGAAAUGAGGCCUUUUAGCUGCUCUAUUCUUAGAAAAUAGUAAACCUUAAAUGGUGAGAAAACAUUUUGAUUCAAAAUGUUGUCUAAAAUGUUUCCUGGGUGGUAGUAAGGUGUGGUGUGUGGGGGGUGGGAUAUUAGAGCCAUAUAUGAAAGAGUUUAAUUUUUGGUUCUUUUUAGAUUAUUUUAUAAAAAUAAAAUAAAACUAGAAAACCUGUUAAAACUAAGGGUUAAAACCCCUCAGUACAUGUCAGUUAAAUAACCUGAAGUGUACUAGAGGUAAGAAAAGUCUGGAUUUUAAAAUACUACAUUCUCUCUUUUUUUUUUUUUUGCAUGAGUAAUUAACCACUUUGUUGCACAGAAACAUAAUUAUUCUCUUACCUGUAAACUUAAAUAAUAGCUUUUCAUAAAAACCCAUUUUCCUCUUUAAUUAUAAAACACUAUCCCUUUAUACUUUCCUCAGCUAUAUUAAAAUUCUCUAAUAGACCCAGGACUCAAAACUCAUAAAUACAUAUACUAACACUCUUGCUAUAAAGAGAGCUAUGUAUAGAGUCAAUCAGCUGCCCUGUAAUCUUUUGGUCUUACUUGUACAUUCUGCUUAGAAAGAAGGAUCACUAAAUUAAUUAACAAAUGACUUCCUCUCUAGGAGCCAAAAGGCCUUUGGGGUUAAGGGGUUCAGGUAGAGGGGAGGGGCAAAAGAUAGAAAAGAAUAAACAUCAUUAGUCCUUUUUAUAAGCAAACUAAACACUUUAUUCCCUUAAAAUGAACUAAGACGGAUUUAAGUUGGUCAAUUCUGAAUUUUAAUCAGCUCUAGAGCCAAGGACUUGCUAAUACUUGAUUUUAAAAAGUAAACACAAUUCCAAUUUCAGAAGUGAAAAAAUGGAGCUGUUUCUGAACUCCUAAGUUACCACUGCCACACUUAAAGUAAAUAAGUAAUUUAAAAAACAUUCACCAUUAGCAAGAUAAACAAUAACUAAGUUAAACCCCAAACAGAAUAAUAUUUAGUACAUACUUAAAUAGCACCUUACAGCUGAGGUCUUCAGAAGCAUUUUACAAAGACAACAAGAGAGUGUGUUGAUUCCUACAUAUAUAUAUAUAUAUAUAAACAAGAAUAUCUAUAGGAUUUGUGAUUUCCACUACCUCCACCAAAGGUAAAGUAUGUAAGUCCUAGAGAGUUGCCAGAAGCUCAUAAAUAGUUUUAAGUAACUUGCCCAGUCAUUUGGGUGCAUAAUAAGUGUAGGAGGCAGGAUUUUAACUCCAGACUUAUUGUUCAGUACUCAAUGUAACGUACCUGCCCCUCCAUGUAAAAGUAAUUAUUGUUUCAUUUGCUUCUUCUAUGACUCAUCUAGGUAUCAGAACAAAACAACCAUUAGUUGUUCAGGAGAUGAAUUCACUGAUGACUACAGGUCAAUACCUGGCUAAAAGAUGGGUCGUGCAAUGUCCCAGAAACCCACUGAGCUUAGGCUUUGUCAGAAGGACUGAAAGAAGUAGGCACCUAGAACAUCAGAGAAUUACAAUUGUGAAACAGCUAGCAUUAUUCCAAAUUCACAGACCUGGGGCCUCCGUAGGACUAUAUUUUUAUAAAGCUAGGAAACAAGUAGUUUGAAAUUUGAGUUGAACAUUUUGUACCCUGACACAUUAUAUCAAUAGCUUCCCACUCUGUGUAUAGCCCUCUCCCCCCAAAUUUGUGGAAAGGACAUCAAGGGCCUAAUUUUGAAAAGCAUAGUAAUGCAGGGGUUGAAUCUUACUUUGAAGUUAGAUCUCAGAACACAAAGUGGAAAAGGGAAGGAAUGAUAAUGGUACUCUUCUAAGGCCUUGGGAGGAGGUGCUCACUUUCCACCCCAUUGAAGCAAUGAUUCCGAUUAGCUGAACACAAUAUUCAAAAUAUUAACUCUGCCCCCCACCCAAAGCCCUUAAAACUCACCCCCAUUUUCUCCUAAGGUGCAGUUACACUGAUAGGCAAAUAAAUCAAUUAGCAUUUUUUACAUACUGGACAAAUAAUUAUAAUCCCCAGUGCUGGGCACAAGGCCUUAUGCAAAGGUCUUGGCACAUAGUAAGUGCUUGGUAAAAUGUUCAAUUGAGUAGGUGUCUUGUACAUACUGAUAUUGUAUAUGGUAUUCUAAUAUUUUACACAUAAAUAAUGAGAAAGGCCAAUUUCAGAGUUUCUGAUAAGUGGUCUUUCCACAGGCAGACCUUUGCAACAGGCUGACAUCUGAAUUUGAAAAAAAAAAAAAAAAUCCCUAUUCAACAAGUAAAAGUAUUCGUCUCUACAAUUCAUCAGCUAGACCUCUUUGGCCUUUUAAGCCACAGAGACAAGAAAACAGAUGUUAACAUGGAUAACUCAAAAAGGCCUUAAAGAGAAAAGCCCAGGGGUCCAUGCUAAAAAAGUUACAUCAUAAUCUAUAUAUAAUAUAGUGCUAUGACCAUGUUCUAAGACAGGUAAAAGAUAAAUAUACUUUUAUAUUUAAAAAACACAUUCUAAAGACACAUCUUUUUCACAAUUAAAAUGUAUGCAUAUGUGGACAAAAUGAGCAAUAAAGGCUUGAAAAAAGAAUUGGUUUUAUGAAAGUAAUUUAAGUUAAAAGUAUACUUGGGACUCUUUUCCAAAAUGUCAACAGAGAAUUGAGCUUUAAAACAAAAGAGCUUUCUCUAUUCGUCCUUCAUUAGAUUAGGGCCAUGCUAUACAAACUUCUUUAUGAAGAGAUUGCAUCUAAAUGAUCAUUCCCAAUCCCACAAAAUUAGGAGAAAAUCAUGAAAUUCUACCUUAUUCCAGCUGAUUAUAAAAAGGAAGUCUUACUAAAAUACUAAGCUAGAAUUCAAUGCACACAUAAAUGAGAUAUUCCUGACAGCAAAGGAGUUUAAGCAAAAGGAAGCCUAUUUAGGUUUAUUGUAAACAAAAGAAUAUAUACUAUUAGCACAGACUUUCUAUAGUUUUGUUUCUGAGCAUUCAAAGCACCUUAAGGGUACAUUCAUAUUUCAAGAUCUGAACUUAAGCCCUAAAGGCCUUUCCCUAUAUUCCUACCCACCAUUCACCCCCAUUUCCUACUGCCACCCCCAUCCUUUUAAAUAAAGAACCCUGUUUCUUAGCAGAUUCAGGACAGAAAAAUAAAGGAGAUUUUUGCUGCUGCAAUUUUGAUUUGUUUUGAGUAGGGAAUAAGGUAAGCUUUUAUCAUGCAAAAUCAAUUUGUUUAUUAAAAAAUUUUUUUGUUUUUACAUCUGACUUAAAGGUAUAGGUGGAGAGAAGUAGUGAGGGAUGACUGAAGAUGGGAAUAAUUGUCAACCUACUCUUAAGUGUGGAAGAGAGAAAAAGUGCUUUUGUGUUUGAAACAGGAAAAUGAACCCCAAUCAGGAGAGUGCUGGCUGUUUCACAAUAUUGCCACAUGGAAGCCUGAAUCCAAACAAACGUGUUAGCCUUCCGAGGGCAGCUGCUCCGAUUUCUGGGAGAACAGCUUGGACAGAAAAGGCUUCAACACUAUUCAUUCCUGCUUUCUGAGGCAGCUAGAGAGAUGAGUGCUUACUGAAGGGUCACAGUAUGGCACAGGAGUCAGGACUGAAUGAUCACAAUUCAGUCUAUUUAGGCAAUAAUUUGGCUGUUUUCAGUGUUGUUAUAUUUUUCAUGAAUUUAUUUAAGAAGUCAGAGGUAGCCUUUAUCUGCAUCUGCUUUCUCUCUAAGAGAUAUUUGGAAACCACCAACUGUAGUGAUUUGGCCAAACCAAUACAUUCACUUAUGACAAUUAAAUGGCAAAAACAUACCCAAAGAUGCAGGAUUAUAAAGAACAUAACGGAGUCCAUGUCACAUCAACAUAUGUAAAAAUAAAAAAAAUUUAGAAUUCAGAAACCAUUUAGAUUUCUGAGACAUUCCAACACAACUAUAAGCUUAUCAGUUAACCUCUUAAGAGCUAGAGUAGAUAUGUAGCUAUCAAAUCAUAUGCCAUAUAUGAGCAAUACUGUAAUUCUGGGAUCUCGAGCACCUACAAAUUAAAUAAAAAUCAAUUUGAACAGAAUGCCAAACCCAUAGCUUUUGCUUCUGACUGACUCAAAAUAGGUAAAAGAGAGCUGCUCAAUUUUUUGUGAACGUUGCUUUCCUAUAAAGUUUGACCAAGUGCUUGAAGUGGCUUAAAGAAAAUAAGUUUUGCAGCCACAGAUAAUACUAAAGAAAUUAUCUUAAAAAAAUUUUUUUUUAAACUUAUGGAGAUGUAUUAGAAACAAAGACUGAAAAACAUCCUUCUAAAGAAACAAACUAAAUCCAUCCUUCAUAAAAUGUCAUCAGACAAAAAUUGAAGAGAAUAAAAGAAUUUUAACCCACACAGUUCUAACAUCUUAAUACUGUAAAUGUGGCAGUAUCACAAAAACAAAGUACAUCAGUGAUAGCAUUUCUAUUUCUGCAAUUCAUAACAUUAUAUACAAUCUUUUUCAAACAGCUACAGCAGAUGACAAAGAUCUGACACAAGUAAAAAGGAAGUUCUCAAAAAAUCAGUGCAAUUAUUUUGAGUUGAAGGUUUGCUUAUAAAACAGACAGCAUGUGUGUAUUUUGGGGCACAUGGAGAAACACCCACAAUAUAAAAGUCAGACGCAUACUGUUUAAAUUGAAAAAAAUAAGUUAUGCCAGCCUAAACAGCCAGUUAAAUUACUAGGGAGCAGUUUGCUUUGGGAAGUACCUAAAUAUAAAUGCAAGUUGUAUUUUGAAAGGGAGUAGCCUGAAGAGAAGGAAAUUUUCGCUUGAUGUACAUUCCUUGUCUUGUGGGAGAAAGAUAUAGUUCAGAAGAGAUCACAUAAAAAUUUCUUAUGGCUUGUCUAGGCCACUAGAAUGGCCCUCUGUAUUAAGUCAGUAACCAAACUUUUCCACAUAUACUCACUAACUGAAUUAUACCAAAUACAGGAAAAUGCCCAUUUAAAUAAUCCAAUGCUACCAUUGAAGAGAUCUGAAACUAUGACAAGAGUUGAGAUCUUAGUCAUUAUAGCAUGAAAUAAUAAGAGAGAAGAAUGAAAUUCUGGAUUUUGAGAUAAAACUUGAAUUUUGGCUCUGCUACUUGCUAUUGCUGUGACCAUGGGGGGAAAAAAAAAUCACACACAACUCAAAGUCUUGAUAUAUUUUUUUUUCAUUGAUAGAAUUCUGGGCAGGGAGGAGGAGACACGGGAAGGCAACUGGACUAAAUGAUGUAUAAGUUUCCUUCCAGCUCUAAAUCCUAUGAUAAUGUGAGAAAUCAAAUUAUAGGUUAUGUGAUGCUUAACACCAGACAAUAUCUAAUUGAGCCUCAUUAAUGUAAUGGUAAAAACAAGGAACUAAAAUCAGAAGACCUGGGUUUUUCUUCUGGUUCUGCCUUUCACUCACAGUAUAACUGAUCAUAUCAUUUCCCACUUUGAGGCCAUUUUCUCAUCUAUCAAAUAAAAAGAUUGACCCAGGUUCUUUCCAAUGCUAGACAUGACAAAUGCUUAAAGAACUCAAUGUAAUAUAACUCAAUGAAUGUACUGGAAAAGGGGCUGGUCUAAUUUAGCAUCACUAAGAUCAAGCACAGGCAAAUAUUUCAGAAAGGAAGUUUGAAUUACUACAAACUGAUGAAAAAUUCUCCAUGUCUGUUUUGUACUCUAUCCUAGCAAAAUUACACUCAUAAGAUUUCCCUUCUUAGAAGUUAAAGGACCUAUGCUAAGAUAAAAUCUGGGAUAAAAAUUUAUAUUAUAAAUAACUUAGGUGCUGUGAAAUGGAGUAAUUCUUUAGUCAAAUCAAACUUGGGUGUUAUAUUGAAAUAAAUAGCAAUUUUUGCAUUUAAUUAAAAACUUGCUCGUAAAAAAACAAAAACAACAAAAACCUAGGAACGAAAUCCAACAGGUCUCUUGUUAUGAAUACUCAAAAGCUUGGGUAAACAUUAGUAAUUAUUACUGGCCACAGUUGGGCUCAGAUGGUCAUAAUUUUAAGCCAUGUUACCAAAGUGCACAUUGAGGCAAUGAUAUAAAUGAUAUUAGCUCUGGGUGCCCUUGUGGGUCUGAGUGGGUGCAAAGUUGCUUUCCAAGGGGAUUUGAGUUUCCCCUCAAAAGUGAGUUUGGGAAAGCUAUAAAAAAGCAAGGUAAUUUUUAAUGGAAAAAUGGAGACACCACAUCCAUGAAAUCACAAUAUUACAUGCAAAAACAUGCCUUUAGAUAGAAAGUAACUCAUAAUCCUGAAAUGCCAAGUUAGUUUAACUUUAUAAAAUAUAGUCAAGGGAAAUCCAGACUUGCCAAAGACAAAUAAGGGAUAUUUUUGCAUGACAAAAGAACUCAUCCCCUCAUUCCCAACUGGCUCCUUUAAAUAUGUUUCCCAAGUCUACUUAAGUCUUGGUUUACAGAUCAUUAACUAUAGGUGGUAGGCAGCAUUAGGAAAGAACACAUUCCUGUAAAGAGCAUUACAGUCAGGAGAUCUGGACCUGAAGUUUGGCUCUACUACCUACUAGCUGUGUGACCUUGGACAAGUCAUUUAACACAGCUUUUUAUAGAUACAGGUUUCUUCAUAUGUAAUAUGGAUACAAUAAUACCUGUCCAUAUUGAUCUCACUAGGUUGUCAUGAGGAUCAAUGAGAUGGUUGUGAAAGCACUUCUGUAAACUGUAAAGCACUAUAUAAGUGUGAGGUAUCACCAUCAUUAAUGUGUGUAAAUAAGAAUGUUUGUAAACCAAAACAUUACAAAUGUUUAAAAGGAAUCUUAUUGUGAAUAUUAAAAACAUUUCUAUUAUGAAACCUUUUUAAAAGCAAUCAAAUAAACUUUAUCUUGUGUGUGUGUGUGUAUGUGUGUGUACACAUACACACACACUGGGGGUUUUAUAUCAUUGUUCACAUACCCAGUUUACUUAAAGUGAGGUACAUCUAUUUGGAACUGGUAGGGCAAAAAAGCAAAGACAGAAUGGGGAUGGGGGUGGGAGGGAUACAUCCUGUUAAGUGAAAAAAGAAUCACAAAUGAUGGGAACAGGGGAUAUUCACUUUAAGGAAACUGAUGGGUGUGCUCACUAGCAACACCACUUUGGGUAAAGCACAGUUCACCUAUUCACAAUAUCUUGGGGUCAUUUUAUGUAUAAACACUACCAGAAAUAAUUGUUUGGAAAGGAAUACCUUUUGGCCACUAUGUGAAGAGUUUUACUUUUGAAUUUCAUCUUCAAAAAUUCUAUAUACAGCCAUGAAAUUCAUUACUAGAGAAUUUUUUUCUCCAUGGUUUAUAGGAGAAAUUAUUUUAAAAAUUUUAUAUCCCCUCCCUUCCCCCGAAAAAACCCCUAACUGGUGAACUUUUACAAAACAAACUAUUACCUGAGACUGUACUAAUUAGAGCCAUUCUAAUUUUGUAAAACCAAAGGAUUACAAACAUACUGGAGAUAUUUUGGUCUAUUAAUGCUUUGAAUAUUAAAAAGUCUUACAAAAGCAGUUAUAUAGCACAGACGUAUAGAGUAAUUCUCAAAGUCCUUUAGGCCCACUUUUAAGAAAAUAUUAUCCCCUUUGAAAUAUUGACAGGAACAACCUAGAAGAAGUCUCUAUGAGUCUGUGCUUGAUUAGCAAUUACAAAUGUACUUUUAGCUUAGAAAGGUAUUCCCCCAUCCCCCUUUUUGUUGUCCAUUUCCCUCAAAAUUUCCUUGUAGUUCCUAUCAGUGCGAAAAGCAGGUUUCUUCCUAAACCUAAUAAACUUCAAUAGAGCCCACAGGUACUUUCAGAAAAGGAUGGAACUAAUUUGAUUUUGGUUCCUACCCGUUUGGUACAAGAAAAGAUUUUCUCUUUAGGCUCUAACUUAGGUUAAAACUUGAGCCACGAAUGAAUUUUUACCCCUCUGAAAAUAGGUAAAGUGCCACAAACCAUUAAAAGGGAAGGAGAAUGGCAACAUUUCCUGUAGAAUCUUCUGAAACAUUUUUUUUUAUAUAAAAUGAAAAUGAUACAGCGAAUGACUUAAACAGCAAGAUAAGACUAAUGCCAUUAGAAGAUAAGCACACACAUACUACACACAAACACACACACGUACAUACAUAGAUAUGUAAAUAACACUCAUCCAUUUGUUAUUUCAGCCAAAAUAACAUGGGCAAGGUGUUCAUUAUAACUUGAAGUGUGGUUAAAUCCCCCAAACUCAUAGCCAG